rnacentral:rRNA from 1 species
AUGAUGGGUUUGUUCUUUGUACUCUUUGGUUGGCUUCUUGGCUGCUUCUUGCUGUCAAGGAUGUACCCUGCUAUGUCAUUUGUGAUCCCUAUUUUGGAGACCAUAGUGGCACAGUUUGCUUUGCCCACUCUUUUAUACGUGUGUGAGAUUAUUGAUGGUGGGAUAAAGUUUGCUGGGGUGAAGCUUGAGCUUCCUACAAAUGGUGCCUCCCUGCCGCCAGAUAUGAGAUUCUUCUGGGCAGCUGGCGUCCACUUACGAUCCAAGGAUCUGCUCUGCUUGCGCUUCAGGCGGGUGGAUCAGGAGCUCUCUUGA